rnacentral:rRNA from 15 species
GGGUAAUGGGGCCCCACAGGCUUACUGAUCCUAACCAAACUCCGAAUACCUGAGAGUACUAUGCGGCAGACACACUACGGGUGCUAAGGUCCGUGGUGGAAAGGGAAACAGCCCUGACCGACAGCUAAGGUCCCUAAAUUAUGGCUAAGUUGGAAAGGAUGUAGGAAUCCCAAAACAACCAGGAGGUUGGCUUAGAAGCAGCCAUCCUUUAAAGAAAGCGUAAUAGCUCACUAGUCGAGUCGGCCUGCGCGGAAGAUGUAACGGGGCUCAAACUGGUUACCGAAGCUGCGGCUGUGCACGCAAGUGCACGGGGUAGGGGAGCGUUCUGUAAGCCUGCGAAGGUGUGUCGAGAGGCAUGCUGGAGGUAUCAGAAGUGCGAAUGCUGACAUGAGUAACGACAAUGGGGGUGAAAAACCCCCACGCCGGAAGACCAAGGGUUCCUGCGCAACGCUAAUCGGCGCAGGGUGAGUCGGCCCCUAAGGCGAGGGCGAAAGCCGUAGUCGAUGGGAAUCAGGUUAAUAUUCCUGAACCUGGUGGAUGUGACGAACGCCGGAAGUAGUCUCUCCUUACUGGAUUGGAGGGGCUGCCUGGGCGUUCCAGGAAAUAGCACCACCGUUAAGACCGUACCCGAAACCGACACAGGUGGACUGGUAGAGUAUACCAAGGCGCUUG